rnacentral:lncRNA from 1 species
GAACAAGUUCAGCCCUCUGAAAUUCAGUUCUAUCAAAAAUUCUCAGCAACAUUUCAUAGGGGUGUGCGCUCUGAUGCGGUCGACGUAAAUGGUUAACUUAAUCACAUGCACAACACUGUUUGAUUCUACCCUCAAGAAUCAUACAAAAAAUCAUCAUCAACAACAACAACAAGAAGAGAUUCUCAAUGGCUUCAAGAAUUGUUUCUCAACAACAACCCAAAGGUGUGUGUUUUGUUCAAUCACGUACUGAUUUUUGAUUGUUUUUUCAUUGUUUUUUAUGAUUCAUUGAUUCUUUCAGGUUUUAUGGUUUUAUUCUUUCUGGGGUUCAAUUUUUUUGUUCAAAGAUUGGAACUUUGAGGGUUUGGUAAUGUAGCGGUAAGAAAAAAAAUUCUGGG